rnacentral:lncRNA from 1 species
UUCUGGUGAGGGCUCGGGCUAAUCUUUUCAGCCCACUAUAGGAAGUAAAGUUGACUCUCCUACACCAUGAAAGGCAACAACAACUCAUCCACCUUCUUCGAAGGCUUCGAGCUUAACCCAGGUAUACCAACUUUCCUUAUCUAGCCUUUCUUUUUUAAUUGUAGACUAUUCUCCUAAUUUAUUUCCCUUGAUUUGCAACAGGGUUCUGGCAAAGACUGGGGCCAUUCCCUUGAUUUACAACAGGGUUCUGGCAAAGGCUGGGGCCAAUCUCUUCCGCCUUUAGUGCACAAAGUAGCUCUUCCUAGGCCUCCCUUGGUUUCUGGGGUUACGGGGAUCCUUAUAGGGGUGGGCACUUAGAACCGAAAACUGAAACCGAAACACGAACCAAAUUGAACCGCACCGAACGAUUUGGUUUUGUGGUUUUGGAAUGGUUUCGGUUUUGAAACCAAACCGCAGCAUAGAAAACGGUUUGGUUUCGGUUUUAGCUUUCGAAAACCGUACCGAAACCGAACUGCACUGCAAAUAUUAAUAAACAUUUAAUUAAAUUUCAUGUUUUAAUUGGUUGUUUGUUAGAAUCCAUGCCCUUAGUAUGGACACAACCACACUAGAAUAUCAUCAUUCAUCACUUUUCUUUCGUUCAUUAACUUGAAUGACCUUUGUUAUUUUAUACCAUCACACACACACACACACAUAUAUGUACAAGGGUAGACUAAUCUUGUUACCAAGAGUCGAACAAUGAUCUAAUGAAGUCCACUUAUUUGAAGCAUGAUAUCACAUAUUCUAGUAUGAAAGUUUCGCUCAUGUUUAAUGAAUUGAAAGUUAUUCAACUUGUUUUAUGUUAUACCUUGUACGGGACACCCUUUUGUUGCACAAACAUAUUUUAACAUCACAACUGCAUGCAACAUGCUAAUUGUUUAUAUAACAAAUGUCUUUUUCCUAUUACUAAUGGGAAAUGCUUAUUAAUAUGUUAAAUUGCAAAUUGUACAUUUUUUUUCUUAAAAACCAAAUCGAAACCGUUUGAAACUGCAUCGAACAAACGAAAAGGUUUGGUUUCAUUUCUGUUUUGGCUUCAAAACCGCAUCGAACCAAACCGCAAAAAAUUUUGGUUUCGGUCAAAACCACACUGAACCAAACCGUGCCCACGCUUAGCUCCCUAUCUAUCGGCCUAAGAAGAAAAUCAAGACUGCUGUUGGUCCUUCCACUUCUAGCUCUCUUCCUCCCAUUGCUGCUGAG